UUGGUCCGUCAUUCUGUCACGAUCGGUCGCGGCAGCAAGCGGCGAUCGUGCGGAUCGAGCGGGCAGGAAGUAGGCAAGGCAGCGUACGGGAUCAAACAAGGGUUUAAUGAGUAGACUGGGACCGGGAAACAGCUAACGUGUACAAACAUCAAUGACGGACGAAGGACUCAGGUAAGACACGGACUGAAAUACACAGGACUGAUUGAAAAUAAUCAGACACAGCUGGGUACAAUCGGGAAAGAACACGUGGGUAAUCCGGGGGCGUGGCACACACGAGGAGCCGACGAGCAGGGCAUGACAAAAGCUAAAUUGUAUUUUGCAGACAUCUAUGCCGCUAUGCGUUGCUUAUUAAUUAGCAGAGAACAAUCUGGUAAAUCAAGGAACUAAUUGCACACCUUUUUACCGAUUAUCAGUUUGAAAAAUUGCAUUGUCACGCUGUCAUUGGUCACACUUGGCGCGCAAGCGUUGCUUAGAUCAGCCAAUCGAAAAGACGUUUGCUGGUUUAAUAUUCUAUUACCAUCGUGACAUAUAAUAUUUAGUGUUAAUAGCAAGUUGCCUGAUCCUCAAAAUAUAGAAGAUGAAGUGUUACGAUACUGAUAAUCAGAUUUAACUUGCAGAUUCUGAUUUUCUCUUGAAUUUUUAUAUUCAUAAACAUCAAUAUCUGAGGAUGGAUGAAUGGUGUGAGAAUGGCAAAAAAAGAGGAAGAUAUAAGAGAUUCUUGGAGGAGGAUGAUUCGCGAGUACCGAUAAAGACUAAAUACAGACGCAAGGUGACAAAGGUACAACAGACUAAGAAGACCCAUUAUAAGUCAUAUAUUGAAUCCGGAAUCCCUAUUCCUAGGAAAAGUGCUUACAGGAAAAAACAAAGCAACCGCUCAGUUGAGCAUUCUGAAACAGCUAAUGAAUCUGAGCAAGAAAGUGUGGGAUUUCUUGGACAAGAGACAAAGCAACUGAAGAUUUCAGAUGAAUUAUUUGAAACCCAUGGCCCUGAUGUACAUGAUGAAAAUCAAACAGAUGUCGUACAGUUACAGGAAGAAAAAUGCACAUUACACAUUGCAGAAGCUGACACUCAACAAAGUAAUGAAGAUGGUAAUGAUGAAC